rnacentral:rRNA from 1 species
ACGCUCGACACCUACGGGAGGCAGCAGUGGGGAAUAUUGCACAAUGGGGGAAACCCUGAUGCAGCAACGCCGCGUGAAGGAAGACGGUUUUCGGAUUGCAAACUUCUGUUCUUAGUGAAGAUAGUGACGGUAGCUAAGGAGCAAGCCACGGCUAACUACGUGCCUGCAGCCGCGGUAAUCUGAGCGGCUGGCAAGGC